CCAAGUUUCUUUUGCUGAUCCAGUAAGAAUUUGAAAGCAUCUUUUCUAAAAAUCAGAGCCUUCCCAAGGUAAGGAAUCCAGCCAUUUAUUAGCGGGGGCUCUCCAGACUUCCUGCCAGCUACUCAUUACCCAAAAAACCGGCAGCGAGGGCCGAUGUUGCAACCCGGCAGCAGCAUUUGUCCACCCUGCCUCUGCAGGUCUGGUCGGUGCACCUUGGA